rnacentral:rRNA from 1 species
GACGAACGCUGGCGGCGUGCCUAAUACAUGCAAGUCGAGCGAAGUGUUUCUGGUUCUUUCGCUAGAAAGACUUAGCGGCGGGCGAGUGAGUAACACGUAAAGAACCUGCCUCAUAGACUGGGACAACUAUUGGAAACGAUAGCUACUACCGGAUAACAGUGUUUCUCGCAUGAGGGAGAUUUAAAAGUUGGUUAUGGUAACACUAUGAGGUGGCUUUGCGCUGCAUUAGCUAGUUGGUGGGGUAAAGGCCCAACAAGGCGACGAUGGAUAACCGACCUGAGAGGGGGGUAGGCCACAUUGGGACGUAGACACGGACCAUACGCCUAAGGGAGGGAGCAGUAGGGAAUCUGCGGCAAUGGGCGAAAGCCUGACGGAGCAAGGCCGCGUGAGUGAAGAAGGAGUUCGGUGCGUAAAGCUCUGUUGUUAGGGAAGAAUGGAUAUGGAGUAAGUAGAAAUGUAAGAGACGGUACCUAGUCAGAAAGCAACGGCUAACUACGUG